AUACGGAGGGUGCAAGCGUUAAUCGGAAUUACUGGGCGUAAAGAGUACGUAGGCGGUUUGUUAAGUUAGAUGUGAAAGCCCCGGGCUUAACCUGGGAACUGCAUUUAAAACUGGCAAACUCGAGUUGGGUAGAGGGAAGUGGAAUUUCAGGUGUAGCGGUGAAAUGCGUAGAGAUCUGAAGGAACACCAGUGGCGAAGGCGACUUCCUGGACUCAAACUGACGCUGAGGUACGAAAGCGUGGGUAGCAAACGGGAUUAGAUACCCCAGUAGUCC
rnacentral:rRNA from 1 species